UCGGCUCUCGCAUCGAUGAAGAACGUAGCGAAAUGCGAUACUUGGUGUGAAUUGCAGAAUCCCGUGAACCAUCGAGUCUUUGAACGCAAGUUGCGCCCGAAGCCGUUAGGCCGAGGGCACGUCUGCCUGGGCGUCACAC
rnacentral:rRNA from 1 species